rnacentral:rRNA from 1 species
UGUGAGCUCGAUGAGUAGGGCGGGACACGUGGUAUCCUGUCUGAAUAUGGGGGGACCAUCCUCCAAGGCUAAAUACUCCUGACUGACCGAUAGUGAACCAGUACCGUGAGGGAAAGGCGAAAAGAACCCCGGCGAGGGGAGUGAAAAAGAACCUGAAACCGUGUACGUACAAGCAGUGGGAGCACGCUUAGGCGUGUGACUGCGUACCUUUUGUAUAAUGGGUCAGCGACUUAUAUUCUGUAGCAAGGUUAACCGAAUAGGGGAGCCGAAGGGAAACCGAGUCUUAACUGGGCGUUAAGUUGCAGGGUAUAGACCCGAAACCCGGUGAUCUAGCCAUGGGCAGGUUGAAGGUUGGGUAACACUAACUGGAGGACCGAACCGACUAAUGUUGAAAAAUUAGCGGAUGACUUGUGGCUGGGGGUGAAAGGCCAAUCAAACCGGGAGAUAGCUGGUUCUCCCCGAAAGCUAUUUAGGUAGCGCCUCGUGAAUUCAUCUCCGGGGGUAGAGCACUGUUUCGGCAAGGGGGUCAUCCCGACUUACCAACCCGAUGCAAACUGCGAAUACCGGAGAAUGUUAUCACGGGAGACACACGGCGGGUGCUAACGUCCGUCGUGAAGAGGGAAACAACCCAGACCGCCAGCUAAGGUCCCAAAGUCAUGGUUAAGUGGGAAACGAUGUGGGAAGGCCCAGACAGCCAGGAUGUUGGCUUAGAAGCAGCCAUCAUUUAAAGAAAGCGUAAUAGCUCACUGGUCGAGUCGGCCUGCGCGGAAGAUGUAACGGGGCUAAACCAUGCACCGAAGCUGCGGCAGCGACGCUUAUGCGUUGUUGGGUAGGGGAGCGUUCUGUAAGCCUGUGAAGGUGUGCUGUGAGGCAUGCUGGAGGUAUCAGAAGUGCGAAUGCUGACAUAAGUAACGAUAAAGCGGGUGAAAAGCCCGCUCGCCGGAAGACCAAGGGUUCCUGUCCAACGUUAAUCGGGGCAGGGUGAGUCGACCCCUAAGGCGAGGCCGAAAGGCGUAGUCGAUGGGAAACAGGUUAAUAUUCCUGUACUUGGUGUUACUGCGAAGGGGGGACGGAGAAGGCUAUGUUGGCCGGGCGACGGUUGUCCCGGUUUAAGCGUGUAGGCUGGUUUUCCAGGCAAAUCCGGAAAAUCAAGGCUGAGGCGUGAUGACGAGGCACUACGGUGCUGAAGCAACAAAUGCCCUGCUUCCAGGAAAAGCCUCUAAGCAUCAGGUAACAUCAAAUCGUACCCCAAACCGACACAGGUGGUCAGGUAGAGAAUACCAAGGCGCUUGAGAGAACUCGGGUGAAGGAACUAGGCAAAAUGGUGCCGUAACUUCGGGAGAAGGCACGCUGAUAUGUAGGUGAAGUCCCUCGCGGAUGGAGCUGAAAUCAGUCGAAGAUACCAGCUGGCUGCAACUGUUUAUUAAAAACACAGCACUGUGCAAACACGAAAGUGGACGUAUACGGUGUGACGCCUGCCCGGUGCCGGAAGGUUAAUUGAUGGGGUUAGCGCAAGCGAAGCUCUUGAUCGAAGCCCCGGUAAACGGCGGCCGUAACUAUAACGGUCCUAAGGUAGCGAAAUUCCUUGUCGGGUAAGUUCCGACCUGCACGAAUGGCGUAAUGAUGGCCAGGCUGUCUCCACCCGAGACUCAGUGAAAUUGAACUCGCUGUGAAGAUGCAGUGUACCCGCGGCAAGACGGAAAGACCCCGUGAACCUUUACUAUAGCUUGACACUGAACAUUGAGCCUUGAUGUGUAGGAUAGGUGGGAGGCUUGGAAGUGUGGACGCCAGUCUGCAUGGAGCCGACCUUGAAAUACCACCCUUUAAUGUUUGAUGUUCUAACGUUGACCCGUAAUCCGGGUUGCGGACAGUGUCUGGUGGGUAGUUUGACUGGGGCGGUCUCCUCCUAAAGAGUAACGGAGGAGCACGAAGGUUGGCUAAUCCUGGUCGGACAUCAGGAGGUUAGUGCAAUGGCAUAAGCCAGCUUGACUGCGAGCGUGACGGCGCGAGCAGGUGCGAAAGCAGGUCAUAGUGAUCCGGUGGUUCUGAAUGGAAGGGCCAUCGCUCAACGGAUAAAAGGUACUCCGGGGAUAACAGGCUGAUACCGCCCAAGAGUUCAUAUCGACGGCGGUGUUUGGCACCUCGAUGUCGGCUCAUCACAUCCUGGGGCUGAAGUAGGUCCCAAGGGUAUGGCUGUUCGCCAUUUAAAGUGGUACGCGAGCUGGGUUUAGAACGUCGUGAGACAGUUCGGUCCCUAUCUGCCGUGGGCGCUGGAGAACUGAGGGGGGCUGCUCCUAGUACGAGAGGACCGGAGUGGACGCAUCACUGGUGUUCGGGUUGUCAUGCCAAUGGCACUGCCCGGUAGCUAAAUGCGGAAGAGAUAAGUGCUGAAAGCAUCUAAGCACGAAACUUGCCCCGAGAUGAGUUCUCCCUGAC